rnacentral:rRNA from 1 species
UAAGACGAGCCACACGAACGUUAUUCGGAAUUACUGGGCUUAAAGGGUGCGUAGGCUGCGCGGAAAGUUGGGUGUGAAAUCCCUCGGCUCAACCGAGGAACUGCGCCCAAAACUGCCGUGCUCGAGGAAGAUAGAGGUAAGCGGAACUUACGGUGGAGCGGUGAAAUGCGUUGAUAUCGUAAGGAACACCUGUGGCGAAAGCGGCUUACUGGGUCUUUUCUGACGCUGAUGCACGAAAGCUAGGGGAGCAAACGGGAUUAGAUACCCCGGUAGUCCUAGCCGUAAACUCUCAGCACUGAAUUGAAGGGCCUCCCAUAGCCCUUCAGUUGAAGCGAAAGUGUUAAGUGCUGCGCCUGGGGAGUAUGGUCGCAAGGCUG